CAGCGCGGCUAGCUCGCCCACGCAGUUCUGAUCUUGCGGGCCCAUGUAUCAGUCGGCUGUUGUUAUUUUUUAUUCAAAACAUUGCGUCCAUUCAUUUUCUCAUCUCGUUCCUCCACCUCGUUCAUUUCAUCUCCUCAUCCUCUCUCUCUAGGGUUCCUUUCUCUCUUCCACCGGGAGGCAUUUGCUCGAAUCUAGCACCAUACGCGCGCAUCUGAGCUUUUGCGAGGGGGAUUGAAGCACAUCCCCUACAGGUUAUCAUCGAGGUCAUUUGGAAUCAAGGGGGUUGGGCAAAAAUUUGCAGACCAGUGUAGCACGUCUGCAGGGGGUCCGUGAUCGACUGGAACCGCAAAUCAUCUUGGGGGUUCAGCGGAAUCUCAGGUCUGAAUUAGUGUUGUGGAGUCAAAGUCUUGAUGACAAGGGGAAGGCUCACACCGGAGCAGGGGAAAUUUUUCACCAGAAAAAAGAAGGUCAAAGAUAUCUUAAAUCAGCUGGGGUUGUGAAGCAGGGAAUGAAGCAGGUCAGCAAAUGUUUUUCUUUAUUUAUUUCCAUUUUUUUGCAACACUUUGUUUCACUUCCCAGGGCAUGUGCAAUUUCUACUGAAUGGAGCCAUGCUAUACGGACCCUUCAAAGCUGUCUAAAGUAAUAGGUAAUAACGUGAUUCUGAUUAGGCAAUAAUAUGAUUCUGAACCAUGCAAAAUAGUUUACUUGAUUAGGCAAUAUUUACUUUAGAAUUUUAGAAUUUAUUUUUUCUUUGCCUGUUUAAAGUACUAGGUAAUAUACAACUAUCAGCACUGGUAUUUAACAUGUAACCUAGUUCUUUAGCCUGAAGUGACCACAUAGGAGUAAAUUUUAUGUGUGCAGUCAUCAUUUGCUAAAAAAUUCACACAGGAGUAAAACUCAACUUACCAAAAUCGUUAGAUUCCUAAACCUAAAUGGUUGUGCUUAAUAAACUACACUACCUUGUUGUUGAUUCUGAAAAAUUCCAAAUAAACAAAUGUGGGCACAAUACAAGACAAAGAAACUCAGUAUCAUUUGCUAAUAUAUCACUUCUUGCAUUAGAGUUGAAGCCAAACAGUUUAGUGAUUAUUCAAUACCAAUUUUGUAAUCUGAUAUAGGCAGUAAUAUUGUAUUUAUUAGGUAAUAGUAUAAAUUAUUGAUUAAACAUUCAGUUUACUGGAAUUCAUUUGUAGGUUUGCCUAUGCUAAAUCAACAAGCAGAUUGUUCAUUUUGUAGUCUAGCAUUGUUUUGAAUGGAAAAAAUCAUCAGUAAAGAUACGUAGUAAAUAUUUGUGAAAAACACUAACUCUGCAUAAAGUAGAGCUGAACCUAAUCAUAGCAGUUCUGUUAGUGUGUUUCUGAUCUUGGUGAAUUGUUUUGGUGCGGGUAACAAGCCCACCCUUUUUGUUGUCUUUGUCUUAGAGCUAUGUUGGUGUAACUAGUCAAAUUUUCCAUAAUAAUUUAGUAGGCAAUAAUGUGGUUCUAAUUAUACAAUUUUAUAGUUAUAACUAGGCAAAACAAUGUAGUUUGUUAGGCAAAACUACGGUUCCCAGUUAGACAAUAAUAUGGGAGGGAAUUUGGAAAUUAUGAUUCUGGAUUGUACAAAUCAAUAUACUUCAUUAGACAACAAACUACCUGGAAUGGAUAUUUGAAAUGCUUAAUUGGUAUCCUUAAAAUACAUACUAAAUAUUUCUAAAUGCUUACGGCAUGCAUCCAAGGACCUUUUUGUGUUUAUGAUUCAAGGGUGAGAGAUGGAAACUGUUUGCACAUCCUAUCUCACCAUUUACUAAGCUGUGUUUGUAGGUAGCUUGGAUCUUGUACGGGGGCAAUAGAUACAUGUCUCACCAAUUUAUUCAUUUUACUUUCGCAUUUUGAUUCUAGCAUUUUCAUGUGUUCUUACUGAUAACUUUUUGGAUUUCAUGUAUGCAACUUAUGCUAAACUAGUGUACAAAUUAAUCAUACUAGCUAAGCACUUUUGUAUUAUAAUUUUUAGCAUUUUUUCGCGUAUUUGUGACCCUCUGCCAUUUUUCUGAUCUAACAAUCAAUUCAUACAAUUCAUGUGUAGUAGCAUAUUUUUUAAAUUAUAUUUCUAUACUAUACCUGCUAACUUUAAGAUUACUUGUCAACCUCAUAGGAGCUGGGAGCAACGUGCACAUUUGUUCUAGGGUGCUUGUGAGUUCAAAUAACAUGCCUACAACUUUUAGCCAAAAUGCUUACCACUGUCAUAAUUAGUAGUUCAACAUGAAUGCAAAUAUGAAGUAACAAUUAUGUUUUUGAGAAGCAAAUAUGAUAUGCAAUAUGUCCAAGUAUUAAGCCAGGAAGCAAAUGUUGUAUCUUGCAGCACUGUAAACAAGUGGUAUUGCAGGAAUGCAUGGUCAGUCUCUGCUAUGCAGCAACAAUGAUAAUACAGACAAUAAUUUGCUAGAGUUUUUCUAACCUGUAGAUGUGAACUAUGUGCAGACUUUCUCAAAUAUUGCUAAAGCUGUACAGGGUGAUUAGGAAUUCAGGCAGAUUAGGAGGGUGAUCGUGUGGGCCUAGUUCUAGCGAGAGGAAUUAUGUACAGCACAUAAUCUACUUCCGUUGUAAUUGAUUGAUUACAAUUUUUUACUAGAAAAGGAAAAAAAGUGUCUGUACA